rnacentral:rRNA from 1 species
AUUGAACGCUGGCGGCAGGCCCAACACAUGCAAGUCGAACGGUAACAGGAAGAAGCUUGCUUCUUUGCUGACGAGUGGCGGACGGGUGAGUAAUGUCUGGGAAACUGCCUGAUGGAGGGGGAUAACUACUGGAAACGGUAGCUAAUACCGCAUAACGUCGCAAGACCAAAGAGGGGGACCUUCGGGCCUCUUGCCAUCGGAUGUGCCCAGAUGGGAUUAGCUUGUUGGUGGGGUAACGGCUCACCAAGGCGACGAUCCCUAGCUGGUCUGAGAGGAUGACCAGCCACACUGGAACUGAGACACGGUCCAGACUCCUACGGGAGGCAGCAGUGGGGAAUAUUGCACAAUGGGCGCAAGCCUGAUGCAGCCAUGCCGCGUGUAUGAAGAAGGCCUUCGGGUUGUAAAGUACUUUCAGCAGGGAGGAAGGGAGUAAAGUUAAUACCUUUGCUCAUUGACGUUACCCGCAGAAGAAGCACCGGCUAACUCCGUG